rnacentral:tRNA from 1 species
GGAGAGAUGCCGGAGCGGUCGAACGGGGCGGUCUCGAAAACCGUUGAUCUGCUCACGUGGAUCCGGGGGUUCGAAUCCCCCUCUCUCCG